UACAGAGGUCCCAAGCGUUGUUCGGAUUCACUGGGCGUAAAGGGUGCGUAGGUGGUGAGGUAAGUCGGAUGUGAAAGCUCGGAGCUCAACUCCGAAAUGGCAUUGGAAACUACCUUGCUCGAGGGUUGGAGGGGGGACUGGAAUACUUGGUGUAGCAGUGAAAUGCGUAGAUAUCAAGCGGAACACCAGUGGCGAAGGCGAGUCCCUGGACAACACCUGACACUGAGGCACGAAAGCUAGGGGAGCAAACAGGAU
rnacentral:rRNA from 1 species